rnacentral:rRNA from 1 species
GGUGAACGCUGGCGGCGUGCUUAAGACAUGCAAGUCGAACGCAGUCUUCGGACUGAGUGGCGCACGGGUGAGUAACACGUAACUGACCUACCCCCAAGUCGCGAAUAACCAGCCGAAAGGAUGGCUAAUACGUGAUGUGAUGAUCCGCUGUGGCGGAUCAUUAAAGACUUGAUCGCUUGGGGAUGGGGUUGCGUUCCAUCAGCUAGUUGGUAAGGUAAAGGCUUACCAAGGCAACGACGGAUAGCCGGCCUGAGAGGGUGGCCGGCUACAGGGGCACUGGGACACGGGUCCCACUCCUACGGGAGGCAGCAGUUAGGAAUCUUCCACAAUGGGCGCAAGCCUGAUGGAGCGACUCCGCGUGAGGGAUGAAGGUUCUCGGAUCGUAAACCUCUGAACCAACGACGAAAGACCCGACAAGGGAGAUGACGGUAGUUGGGUAAUAGCACCGGCUAACUCCGUGCCAGCCGCCGCGGUAACAC